AACGGAGGGUGCUAGCGUUGUUCGGAAUUACUGGGCGUAAAGCGCGUGCAGGCGGCGUGCUAAGUUCCGUGUGAAAUCCCUCAGCUUAACUGGGGAACUGCGCGGAAAACUGGCAUGCUUGAGUACGGGAGAAGAGGGCGGAAUUCCCAGUGUAGAGGUGAAAUUCGUAGAUAUUGGGAGGAACACCGGUGGCGAAAGCGGCUCUCUAGACCGAUACUGACGCUCAUACGCGAAAGCGUGGGUAGCAAACAGG
rnacentral:misc_RNA from 1 species